UCCAAUUACAAAUAGGAAGUUUGUUUCUAUAAAAUAAGCCAUAAUAAGUUUAGAACACAACCGAACCUAAUAGGCUAUUAACCUAGAAAACUCAUUAUUGACAUUGAAACAUAAGCUGUUGGAAACACCAUCGUCAACUCUACCUUUGCUGCAACCAAGCCAAUCUUGUACAAAGCAAACGGAAUCGUUUUCAUCAUAGAUAGCCGCACAAAGCCAUAAAUAGCAAGUUGAAACUUAUAAAACAUGAAAUCACCACUAUCAUUAAAAAUAAGUUUAGACAACA
rnacentral:lncRNA from 1 species